UCACCUCUGCAGGCUGGCCAGCCCCCAGACUGGGCUGGGCAAGUACCUCUUCAAAAGGCCCACCCUCAAGCAUGACUAGGAGC
rnacentral:pre_miRNA from 1 species